rnacentral:rRNA from 1 species
UAGGCUUGACAGUCAGGGAAAACUGGUAGAGAUACCAGGUGCCGAAAGGCGUCCUGAAACAGGUGGUGCAUGGCUGUCGUCAGCUCGUGUCGUGAGAUGUUGGGUUAAGUCCCGCAACGAGCGCAACCCUCGUCGUAUGUUGCCAGCAUUAAGUUGGGGACUCAUACGAGACUGCCGGGGUCAACUCGGAGGAAGGUGGGGAUGACGUCAAGUCAUCAUGCCCCUUAUGUCUAGGGCUGCACGCAUGCUACAAUGGCUGGUACAAAGGGCUGCAAUACCGCGAGGUGGAGCGAAUCCCAAAAAGCCAGUCUCAGUUCGGAUUGGGGUCUGCAACUCGACCCCAUGAAGUCGGAGUCGCUAGUAAUCGCAGAUCAGCAACGCUGCGGUGAAUACGUUCCCGGGCC